rnacentral:rRNA from 1 species
GCUAAACGCGAAGAACCUUACCAGGUCUUGACAUCCCAGGAACCCUGAAGAGAUUCGGGAGUGCCGCAAGGAACCAUGAGACAGGUGCUGCAUGGCUGUCGUCAGCUCGUGUCGUGAGAUGUUGGGUUAAGUCCCGUAACGAGCGCAACCCUUGUCCUUAGUUACCAGCACGUUAUGGUGGGCACUCUAAGGAGACUGCCGUGACAACCGGAGGAGGUGGGGAGUGACGUCAAGUCAUCAUGGCCCGUUACCGGCCGUCGGGCGUACACACGUGCUACAAUGGUCGGUACAGAGGGUUGCCAAGCCGCGAGGUGGAGCUAAUCUCACAAAACCGACUCGUAGUCCGGAUCGCAGUCUGCAACUCGACUGCGUGAAGUCGGAAUCGCUAGUAAUCGCGAAUCAGAAUGUCGCGGUGAAUACGUUCCCGGGUC